GACGAACGCUGGCGGCGUGCUUAACACAUGCAAGUCGAACGGAAAGGCCCUGCUUUUGUGGGGUGCUCGAGUGGCGAACGGGUGAGUAACACGUGAGUAACCUGCCCUUGACUUUGGGAUAACUUCAGGAAACUGGGGCUAAUACCGGAUAGGAGCUCCUGCUGCAUGGUGGGGGUUGGAAAGUUUCGGCGGUUGGGGAUGGACUCGCGGCUUAUCAGCUUGUUGGUGGGGUAGUGGCUUACCAAGGCUUUGACGGGUGGCCGGCCUGAGAGGGUGACCGGCCACAUUGGGACUGAGAUACGGCCCAGACUCCUACGGGAGGCAGCAGUGGGGAAUAUUGCACAAUGGGCGGAAGCCUGAUGCAGCAACGCCGCGUGCGGGAUGACGGCCUUCGGGUUGUAAACCACUUUCGCCUGUGACGAAGCGUGAGUGACGGUAAUGGGUAAAGAAGCACCGGCUAACUACGUG
rnacentral:rRNA from 1 species